rnacentral:misc_RNA from 1 species
UCACGUCUUACGACGGCAGUUUCACUAGAGUUCCCAGCAUUACCUGAUGGCAACUAGUGAUGGGGGUUGCGCUCGUUGCGGGACUUAACCCAACAUCUCACGACACGAGCUGACGACAGCCAUGCAGCACCUGAACCACCGGUCCCUUGCGGGAAAACCCCAUUUCUGAGGCGGUCCGAUGUUGUCUAGCCCAGGUAAGGUUCUUCGCGUUGCCUCGAAUUAAACCACACGCUCCGCUGCUUGUGCGGGCCCCCGCCUAUCCCUUUGAGUUUUAACCUUGCGGCCGUAGUCCCCAGGCGGUGAACUUAAUGCAUUAGCUGCGGCACUGAUCGGGUCAAUCCGACCAACACCUAGUUCACAACGUUUAGGGCGUGGACUAC